rnacentral:rRNA from 1 species
ANGAGAACNUGNCCNUUUUNUUNUGANCCCCCCCCNNUNAUACUNAUNNNAAAAGUUUGCAUAUCGCUGUAGAUGGAAUGUCCUUUAAGGGUUUAUAAACAUUCAAGAGGUUUUAUUUUGUGAAAGUAAAUCAGGUCAAGAUGUAGCUGAUAAAUAAGAAGAGAUGGGUUACAAUAAAUUUAUUUAUAACGGAUUAAUAUAUGAAAUUUAUUAUAAAGGUGGAUUUGAAGGUAAUUUUAUAUAAAUUUAUAAAAUGAUUUUAGCUCUAAAAUAUGUACACAUCGCCCGUCGCUCU